GUAAAUAUAGUUUAACUAAAACAUUGGAUUGUGAUUCCAAAAAUAGAGGUUAUAUUCCUCUUAUUCACC
rnacentral:tRNA from 1 species